UACGGGGGGGGCAAGCGUUGUUCGGAAUUACUGGGCGUAAAGGGCUUGUAGGCGGCCAACUAAGUCAGACGUGAAAUCCCUCGGCUUAACCGGGGAACUGCGUCUGAUACUGGAUGGCUUGAGUUCGGGAGAGGGAUGCGGAAUUCCAGGUGUAGCGGUGAAAUGCGUAGAUAUCUGGAGGAACACCGGUGGCGAAGGCGGCAUCCUGGACCGACACUGACGCUGAUGCGCGAAAGCCAGGGGAGCAAACGGG
rnacentral:rRNA from 1 species